rnacentral:lncRNA from 10 species
CGCCAAUCAGCGGAAGCCGCCGGGGCCGCCUAGAGAAGAGGCUGUGCUUCGGCGCUCCGGCUCCUCAGAGAGCCUCGGCUAGGUGUGGAAACAGGAAGAGAACUAGAACUGGAAGUAAAGCAUUGAAGAUGUGACUGAAUUGCUGCAAUCUCAUGAUCAAAUUUGAAUGGAUGAGGAGUUGCUUUUUAGGGAUGAGCAAAGAAAGUGGUUUCUCGAGAUGGAAUCUACUGGUUGCUCCUUGAGGGCAGGACAGUUCUUAUGGCUUUAUCCGUUGCGUAAGCACAGAGAGGUCUGCGAGGUCAAAACUAUUGUCAUGAUAGCAAGAUGCCUGUCUUUUUCAUUUAUUCUCACGGUGUGCAGAGGCUACAUGAUGUGUGAUGACAUCCUCAUUGAUGUUAAUGAAUGGUGCUAUACUUGAAUUUUCUAAGGUGUCAUUAGGUAGGUUUAGGUAUGCAUACUUGUUUUUAGAAAUUAUUUUUUUCCUUUUUCCCAUUUUUAGAAAUCAACUCAUUUUUUAGGUUAUGCCUUCAGUAAUCUUUGCAACCUCAAUAUUGUGUAAUGGUUACUUUAAAAUACUGUAGUUUUCUUUGUGCCUAAGUAUAAACAUAAGUACAUUUUGUUGUUUUGUUUGCAAUAGUGGUUUAAAUAUUUUCCCAAAAUAUCCAAAUUUAAAAAUUCUACAACUUUAGAAUUUAAUAAAUUUAUUCUAAAAUAUUUAUAUAUUUUUUCAUUUAAGAAUGGAUCGGCUUAAAAAGACUGCUUCUCAUUUACUUACUGGCUAUACCAUCUGUAUACUAAUAAAAAACAAGAUUUGAUUUGGAAGGACUGACUCAAACUAACGAAAAUAUGAAACCUGUCUUUCUGCUUUGGAGAUAUUUACCUAAUCAUGUUCUGCAGUAGAAUAAUUUAGUUCUUUUGUCUUUUUUUGGAGAUGAGGUCUUGCUGUGUUGCCCAGGCUAUUCACAGCUGCCAUCAUAGUGAACUACAGCCUGAAACUCCUGGGUUCAAGAGAUCCUUCUGCCUCAGCCUCCUGAGUAGCUGGAACUAUAGGCAUGCGCCACCAAGCCUGGGCUUUUAAAAAAAUUUUAAAAAGAAUUUUGAGACAGGAUCUUGCCAUGUUGCUCAGGCUAGUCUUCAACUCCUAGCCCUGAGUGAUCUUGCUUUGGGCCUCUCAAAAUGUUGAGUUAAUAGGCGUGAGCCACCAUACCCAGCCAAAAAUUUUUUUAGAGAUGGGAAUGGAAUGAUCUUGAAUAGUGUUGGUGCCACCUAUGUUGUGGCAUCAUUUUGAAACCAAUCAUUCAGAGUGCUUUUUUUGGUAAGGCAUUAUUUUUUAAUGCAGGUAUGCCACUACUGGGAAAAAAAAAAAAACAGGUUUUAAAGCUAGAAAUGAAAAGCUACUUAAGUAUCUUAAAGGAUAAGUUACUUUAUUAUACACUAGAAACAUACACAAUAGCUGAAAAACUUAAAAAAUCUCACACUGCUGAAUGUCUCUGCUGGCUGAAGUGUAAGUAAAAGAUCAUAGUAGUGCCGCUGUUGAGUGAUAAAGCAACUUGUCAUUAAAGAUGUGUGUGCAGACAUGGAUUCUGAGUUAAUAUCUCAUCUGUAGAAGUAUAUAUUUGUCCCUUGCUUUGGGAUUGGUUUCUGGACAGCACUCCCCCACCCUUGCUGGCCAUUUGCCAAGGACACCAAAACCCAAGGAUGUUGAAUUCCCUUUUAUAAAAUGGCGCUGUAUCUGCAUACAACUUACACACAUCCUCCCAUAUACUUUAAAUCAUUUCCAGAUUUCUUAUACUUCAUACAAUGUGAAUGCUAUAUAAAUAGUUGUUACAUUGUGUACUUAUAUUUGUACUAUUGUAUUAAAUAUUCUCAAAUAUUUUCAAGCACAUUUGGUUGAAUCUGCAGAUGCAGAACCUGAGGAUAUGGAGGGCUGACUGUGCUAAUACGUUAUCAAUGGAUGCGUGCAUAAACAUGGCUGGACUUGUUACUUGGCUUGUAUUUGCCAGGCAUCAGCACCAACUAGUUAAAGAUACUCUUACGUGAAAGCUUGGCAACAAACACAUGUCCUGAAAUAAUGCAAGUGUAGAAUAACUUUUUAAAAUCUCAUGGUUUAUGCUAAACUAUAUGUUGACAUAAGAGUGGUGAUAAGGCAACAGUAGGUAAAAGUAAAAUUUCAGGCACCUUGGCACAAACUGUGGCAGUGGCAUCAAACUCUAAGUUAUUUUUCACUGCCAUGCAUUUGUGGUGUGAACCCCCACAAAAGAAAAAAACCAGUUUCACUCAAGAAUGUCCUUGUGAAAGCAGUGACAUUUUGUUAAAUCUUAAACCCUACAGUACAUAACUUUUUGAAAUGGUUGUCUCAAGAAAAAGCACUCAUGUAAGCUGAAUUAUCUGCUAUUUCCUUGGAGCCUAACAACUGACAGCAAUUGUUUUCAAUGAUAAAAUCCAAACGUUGAGUCAAAAUCAGAAUUUCGGGAAAACUUGUGUCUAAUAUCAGGAACUUGACAGCUUCCCAAUACUUCAUGAGAUAGUGAUAUUGAAAAUAAUUUUUUUUUUUUUUUGGGACAUCUGGCUGACUGCAACCUCUGUCUCCUGGGUUCAAGCAAUUCUCCUGCCUCAGCCUCCUGCAUAACUGGGACUACAGGGAAGCACCAUUUUCCACAAAACUCUCAAGAAGGACUUGUUGCAACUGGAAAAGCAAUUAAAUGUGAAUCGUGAUCCAGGAGAAAGUAACAACUCACAUAACUCCCAAAUUAAAAGUUUUCCAAAGAUAUAUCAUUUUUUUUCUCUUGGCCUUUUAAGAAACUAGCCAACAAAUACUCUUGACAGGUUUGUGUUUGGUUUUGAAAACACACACCUUAGUGUACUGAAAGAAAAACAAUUUCUUUUAAUUUGGUUUGUUGGUCCCACACCCCAUCUAUCAAUGUAUGUGCUAUUUACAAAUAAGUUCUAUACAGUAUUUUUGCAGUACCUUUGAUAAUUCCUAGACCUCUAUUUUCAUUCUGUGUAUUAAUGUGAAUAACAGAUGGAUAUUUUAAUAUUUAAGGCAGAUGGUAAACUUUCCUAUAGGUCUUGUGAGACUUCGUCUUAUAGGCUGAACACCAUUCACAAAAUGUAAUAAUGCUUCAUUCCUUCAGGUUGAGGUAAAGAACUUGAGCAACUGGAUUAGCAAAGCUGCAAAGAAUGAAAUGUGGCCUAAGAUGUAAUUAUGUUCUCUGCCCUUCCUUUGGGCCAGGGUAGUUUUGCACUUGACACAAUGGAAAAUAGGCCAUAAAGCCUGAAAAUAAAAUGUUCUAAACCCCAA